rnacentral:rRNA from 1 species
AAAGCUACGCUAAUACCGCAUACGAUCUAUGGAUGAAAGCGGGGAUCGCAAGACCUCGCGCGAUUGGAGCGGCCGAUAUCAGAUUAGGUAGUUGGUGAGGUAAAGGCUCACCAAGCCGACGAUCUGUAGCUGGUCUGAGAGGACGACCAGCCACACUGGGACUGAGACACGGCCCAGACUCCUACGGGAGGCAGCAGUGGGGAAUUUUUGGACAAUGGGCGCAAGCCUGAUCCAGCAAUGCCGCGUGCAGGAUGAAGGCCUUCGGGUUGUAAACUGCUUUUGUACGGAACGAAACGGUGAGCUCUAAUACAGUUUGCUAAUGACGGUACCGUAAGAAUAAGCACCGGCUAACUACGUG